CGAAAGUAGGUCUUAGUGAUCCGGUGGUUCUGAAUGGAAGGGCCAUCGCUCAACGGAUAAAAGGUACUCCGGGGAUAACAGGCUGAUACCGCCCAAGAGUUCAUAUCGACGGCGGUGUUUGGCACCUCGAUGUCGGCUCAUCACAUCCUGGGGCUGAAGUAGGUCCCAAGGGUAUGGCUGUUCGCCAUUUAAAGUGGUACGCGAGCUGGGUUUAGAACGUCGUGAGACAGUUCGGUCCCUAUCUGCCGUGGGCGUUGGAAGAUUGAGAGGGGCUGCUCCUAGUACGAGAGGACCGGAGUGGACGAAUCACUGGUGUUCGGGUUGUCAUGCCAAUGGCAUUGCCCGGUAGCUAAAUUCGGAAGAGAUAACCGCUGAAAGCAUCUAAGCGGGAAACUUGCCUCGAGAUGAGUCUUCCCUGGGGCUUAAAGCCCCUGAAGGAACGUUAAAGACUAUGACGUUGAUAGGCUGGGUGUGUAAGUGCAGCGAUGUAUUGAGCUAACCAGUACUAAUGAUCCGUGAGGCUUAACCUUACAACACCGAAGGUGUUU
rnacentral:rRNA from 1 species